CGGAGGAAAAGAAACUAACUAGGAUUCCCUUAAUAAAGGCGAUCGAAAAGGGAACAGCCCAACGUCUUAAUCCCGCAAGGGAAAUGUAGUCGGUUCACCUAUUGCACUGGUCUAAGUCAGAUGGAAUGCUGCGCGAUUCAUAGUAAAAGCCUCGUAUGACCAACCGCAAGCUUACGAUGGACCGGGGAGAGUCGGAUACUUUGAGAGUA
rnacentral:ncRNA from 1 species